AAUAAAAAAACUGUUGGAAAACAUAAUGCUAUAAAUUUUAUGCUGACUGUUUGUACAGUGGCUGAACUUCAUCGAGACUGCACACAGUUCAGGUCCCAAUGUGAGUCUUAGUUUCACCACCGGACACAAGCUGCACCGAUAUCUCAGGUGUGGCCUCCCUAAUUUUCUAGUUAGACAUUGAAACAAACCUGAGUCAAACUUGGUGAUCUCAAUCCAUGCGUCUGUGGGAAAGCAUCUUGGGAAUAUUUUAGGUAAAGGAACUGCAGGUACUGGAGGAAAAGCUGAUUGGAUGAGAAAGAACAGUGAUAUACACGGUUUCUUUUUUU